rnacentral:rRNA from 1 species
GGAGGUCCGAACCCACGAGCGUUGAAAAGCUCGGGGAUGACUUGUGGGUAGCGGUGAAAUUCCAAUCGAGCCCGGAGAUAGCUGGUUCUCCCCGAAAUAGCUUUAGGGCUAGCCUCAAGGUGAGAGAUACGGAGGUAGAGCACUGAAUGUCCUAGGGGGUAUUGCACCUACCGAAGACUAUCAAACUCCGAAUGCCGUCAUCUUAUACUUGGGAGUCAGACUGUGGGUGAUAAGAUUCAUAGUCGAAAGGGCAACAGCCCAGAUCGUCAGCUAAGGUCCCUAAAUGUAAGUUAAGUGGUAAAGGAUGUGGGAUUGCACAGACAACCAGGAUGUUGGCUUAGAAGCAGCCACUCAUUCAAAGAGUGCGUAAUAGCUCACUGGUCGAGUGAUCCUGCGCCGAAGAUUUCCGGGGCUAAAACUUACUACCGAAGCUACGGCAUCAGUAAUGAUGGGUAGGGGAGCUUCCCAUACGGGUUGAAGCAUGACCGUAAGGACAUGUGGACAGUAUGGGAGUGAGAAUGUUGGCAUGAGUAGCGAGAUGUGGGUGAGAAUCCCACAGGCCGUAAACCCAAGGUUUCCAGGGGAAGGUUCGUCCGCCCUGGGUUAGUCGGGACCGAAGCUGAGGCCGAAAGGCGUAGGUGAUGGACAACAGGUUGAUAUUCCUGUACUACCGAUAACCGUUUGAGAGAUGGGAUGACACAGUAGGAUAAGCUAAGCACACUGUUGGUUAUGUGUGCCCAAGCAUUGAGGCAGUCAAAGUAGGCAAAUCCGCUUUGAUAAUGCUGGGAUGUGAUGGGGAGCGAAAUUUAGUAGCGAA